UGUAGUUCGAAAAUAUAUUUCUUUGACGACGUGAUCAGACUCUAUUGCUUGCGGGAUAGAGUUUGAAACUUUGUGAGGUAAAAGUUCCGAUUUUUGAAUAGAGUUUGAAACUUUGUGAGGUAAAAGUUCCGAUUUUUGAGAUCUUUCCUUUGAAUUUUUUUGGGUUGUAUUUUUUUUUUUCCUUGUAAAAGUUCCAAUUUUUGAGAUAUUUCCUUCGAUUUUUUUGGGUUGUAUUAUUAUUAUUAUUGCUUGUAAAAGUUUCGAUUUUUUAUAUUUUUCCUUCGAUAUUUUUUGGGUUGUGAUUUUUAUUUAUUUAUUUAUUUAUAUUUUAUUUGAAAUCUGAAGCAAACAUACAUUCACGGUAAAAGUUCAGAUUUUGAGAUAUUUUUACUUCGAAUUUUUGUCGGUUGUGAAAUUUGUUUAGGGGAAAGUUGAAGCAAACAUGCUCACUGUAGAUUUUUGUCCUCGUCGGGUCUCACUCCAGGUAAAAGUUCGGAUUUUUUUUAUAUUUUUCCAUCAAAUUUUUUUGGUUUAUGAAUAUUUUUUUUUUUUUUUUUUUUUUUUUUUGUAGUUAAAGCAAACACACAUUCACGAUAAAAGUUCCAAUUUUUUAUAUUUUACUUUGAAUUAUUGUCUGUUAUGAUUUUUGUUUUUGUUUUGAAAGUUCAAGCCAAUUUUUGAUAUUUUACUUUGAAUUAUUGUCUGUUAUGAUUUUUGUUUUUGUUUUGAAAGUUCAAGCAAACAUACUUAUUGUAUAAUUUUGUCCCCACCUGGUCUCGAAACUAUAAUAUUUCUAUUUUUCAUCAUUUUCUAUUUUUUUGAAAUUUUUGUUGUUAUAAGGGCAUUUUCGUCUUUUACCGUUUUGCGUGCCGGACACUGCGGAGUGUGCCGGUUAUGUCCGAGAGUUGUUUGGAGCAUUUCAUUGAGUACAGAACUCUUUGAAAUACAAGGGUGAUCGUUUUAGCAUUUUUUCGUUUUUUGGGCCGAACAGUCCUGUGUGGAACCCGUUACUGGAAUUGUUGCAUGAGGGAAUUUUAAUUAGGUUCAUUUACAUCAUAUUUAUUUUAUUUAAUGUGUUUAAAAUAGUUGUAAUUUAAUAAGUGUAUGUAUAUACAUAUAUGUAUGUGUGUGGUGUAAAAAAAAAAAAAAUAAAAAGAAAAGAAAUUUUUUUUUUUUUGCUGGGGACCACUAGCACAUUAAGUGGUCAAGAGACCACAUUUGUUUUUUUGGUCUGAAACUUCUCUCUUCUCCCACUGGUCUCUCUCACUCUCGGAUUCCAUUUUUCUUUUUUUCUUUUGCUUCAAAUUUUGAAUCUUGUUUUCUCCUUCAAUAUUUAGUAUUUUUUAAUGUCGUUUGUAGCAAAUUGAAGCCCACAACGAGAUCUUCAAAUCCAUACCAGCAAUUUCAGCUUUUGGCCACUCUAGGAAGUUUGAAAAUUAAUACUCAUUUUUAGGGUUUGAGGUGAAAAUUGGGGCUUUUGGCUUAGAUUGAGGAAAUGGGAAAAAAGUGACAGAUGACAUUCCACCACAGGCCUAAUUUGGACUAAAAGACCAUUUUGCUAUUUUUGUAUCUAAGUCCCAUAUAAUUAUACCUAUGGGCUGUAACUUUUAUAUAAGUUGUUUGAAUGUUGUAAAGCAUGGACAUUUGAUCUUAAUAUUGUAUUUUGGGACUAUAAUUAUGAUAUUUGAAUGAAAUGGUAUGUAGUUGUACCACCAUGGAAUGAACUAA